rnacentral:tRNA from 1 species
UCGGGAAUGGUCGGGAUAGCUCAGCUGGUAGAGCAGAGGACUGAA